rnacentral:rRNA from 1 species
UACGAAGGGUGCAAACGUUGCUCGGAAUUAUUGGGCGUAAAGCGCACGUAGGCGGCUUAGCAAGUCGGAUGUGAAAGCCCUCGGCUCAACCAAGGAAGUGCAUCCGAAACUGCUGAGCUUGAGUACUUAAGAGGAUCGCGGAAUUCCCGGUGUAGAGGUGAAAUUCGUAGAUAUCGGGAGGAACACCAGAGGCGAAGGCGGGUUACUGGGCUGAUACUGACGCUGAUGCGCGAAAGCUAGGGGAGCAAACGGG